rnacentral:lncRNA from 1 species
CCGAAACUAAAGAGAGAUUUCCCCAGCGGAGGAUCCUGGGUAAUUCUCUCCUGCUCCCCACCCCUGUUCCAGGAAGCUGCUGCUAACAGUUGCUUUAAGAGAAUCCAGCUCUUUUUGAAACAAAUUAUGUGAAAGGAUAAAUCCAAUUUCUAUAUGAUGACACCACGAACCAAAGUCAUGGAAGGCAGUCAUGCUAUAGAAGAAGCACCACGUAAGAAAAAUAGUGAAAGAAAUAGAAAUGAAGAGUAAAUCCAAACCAUCCAACUCUCUGCUUGACAACUGAACCCUCUCCUCAGCCCACGCUGACAGCUGCUGUUCAUACAAAUCGACAGGAGGCGGUGAGUCACAGCUGAGAAGUGUCAUCAACGUGAAUGAGUUCAAGCUCAACCGACUCGAAGAUUUAGGGCAGAAAGAUCUGCUGGAAACCGGCUAAGAGAGGACAAAAAAUAUUUCCCAAGUUAAGUGAACAUUGCCAGUGGAUCCAUCUACAUCCUGAAAAUUCUGAAACACCAGUUGUCUGAUUUCCCCUGGCUUUGUGUGAAUUGCAUAUCGUAGGUUGGAGGAAUGGGGC